rnacentral:pre_miRNA from 1 species
AUAGUACUCCCUCCGUCCCAAAAUUCUUGUCUUAGAUUAGUCUAGAUACGGAUGUAUCUAAUACUAAAACAUGACUUGAUACAUCCGUAUUUAGAAAAAUUUAAGACAAGAAUUUUGGGACGGAGGGAGUAUAUG